rnacentral:rRNA from 1 species
UACGAAGGGGGCUAGCGUUGCUCGGAAUUACUGGGCGUAAAGCGCACGUAGGCGGUCUUUUAAGUCGGGGGUGAAAUCCUGGAGCUCAACUCCAGAACUGCCUUCGAUACUGGAAGACUUGAGUCCGGGAGAGGUGAGUGGAACUGCGAGUGUAGAGGUGAAAUUCGUAGAUAUCGCAAGAACACCAGUGGCGAAGGCGGCUCACUGGCCCGGUACUGACGCUGAGGUGCGAAAGCGUGGGGAGCAAACAGG